rnacentral:snoRNA from 2 species
AUCCUUUGUCAUUCUCAGGUGUGAUGAUUGGGUGUUCAUGCUUUUGUGUGACCUGUGCCUCCUUCAAACCGUGUUAAGAACUCAGCAUAACACUCAGCACUCAUUCCUCAUCUGACA